rnacentral:tRNA from 2 species
UAGAGAGUGGUGUAACGGGAGCACCUGGAGUUUUGAUCUCCAUAAUAUGGGUUCGAUUCCCUUCUUUCUAA